rnacentral:lncRNA from 1 species
CAUAAACCCAGCUUGCUCGACUCCAAAGCUUGUACUCUACAAGUCUAAUCUGCCUGCCAAAGGCAAAAUAUAGCCCAGAAGAAAGGUGGAGAGGUGAACAAUAAGUUCCUCCUCUAUUUAUAGACAGAGAACACAACCAGAGAGCCCCAAAGGGCACAAGCGCCAAGAAUGGAAUCAGUUUUUCCAAGUCCUUCAUGAGGACAUUCUUUGCUUCCAAAGUCGAGGUGGCACCGGAAAGCCAGAUUACACAUCAAGAAUGCCAGGGCAGCCAGGGAAAUGCAGCGAAGAAAGGACAGUGAAUCCAGCAGCCAGGGCUCAUUAGUGGCCUGCAAGCAGCUGCUUCAGGGCCACAUAUUCAAAUCCAGCAUUUAAAGAGGUUUCCAUGAGCAAUUGGCUGAGAAAUGGAGGCUCCAAAGGUAGGUCUCAUUGGAGAUGUUUGACAAUAAAUAUGGUGAUGUCCACAUGUUCUAUAGUUACAGGAAAGCAGUACUAGAAGAAGAAGGGUUAGAUAAAAUCAGAGUAUCAUAAAAACAGUGUUCAUCUGUUAUUUGUAGAUAAAUAGAACGAUGCUAGAAAACCAGUGAAACUCCACAUUGUGUAUGACCACAAGAACAGGAUCCUCAUAGAAUAAGUCAUGCUCCAUGUAUGUACAAUAUGUCCAAAUGCUCUCCACUGUCAUGUAUAUCUAAAAAGAACAAAUUUAAAAAGUGGGGGGAAAAGUGCUAGAAAAAAUUGUAAUUAAUGAAAGAAGGAAGAACCCAAAUUAACUUGACCAGUUGAGACCUAGACUUGGAAAAAGUGAAUCCGGAUCACAACAGGGCUUUUAGUAGGUUUUGUCUUCCUGACACUAUUUUCUCACUCUUUUCUUCAGGUAACAGAUGCAUCCUGGUGACCCCAUGGGCUAUUGGAUGCUUGCGAUACUUCACUACACCAGGUACAGUCCUUGGUUGACUCAGUGUGACUCAAGACACACCAGCCAGUCCUCCAGGAUUGACAAAUGGAUGUUGGGAGAGAGCUAUCCUCUCCUUCCACUAGGUCGCCAAGCUGGGGUCACACAGCUGGAGACUUUAUAGGCAGCCCCAGGCUUCAUUGACUCAGAAUUGCAAUAACUGAGGCAAAAGAGCUUUCUCUCCCCUCAGCACCCAUACAUAAAAUCCGUCUUCCCUGGCCCUGUGACGGUAGCCAAUUCACAAAUAGGAGAGACAAGCCACUCUAGAGAGGAAGAAGUGGAGAAAAAGAAAGGAAAGAAGCAAAAGGCUUCAAAACCCUGAUUCUAGCCCUACCUGCUCUCCAUGUUGGACUCCCCUUUAUUUCAAAUUAGGUUUCUGUAGCUGGCAACCAAAACACAACUCACUAAUAUAAUAAUAUAAUUCCCAUCCACACCUCAAUUAGUGGGAUAGGGUACCUGUAAAUAGAUAGGAAAACUGUGACCUGCCAGAACCUCUAAGAAUGAAUAUAAUUAAAGAAAAAAAAAAGGCACUGGCCCUAUCCUCCAAGAGUUCAGGGUCACAGGAAGUCCCUUUGCUUUCCUGCUUUGAAUUAGAAAUUCCUCAUAAAUGUUGGUAUGUCAGUGUCCAACAUACGCACGGUGGGGGUGAAGAUAAGAAGAAUCUUUCAUAGUUACAACCCUCUUCCAAGAGAGAAUUAGGACUGGGUGCAGUGGCACACACCUAUAAUCCCAGAGGCUUGGGAGGCUGAGGCAGGAGGACCAAAGCCAGCCUUAGCAAAAGGGAGGUGUUAAGCAACUCAGCAAUACUGAUACCCUGUCUCUAAAUAAAACACAAAGUAGUGCUGGGGAUGUGGCUCAAUGCUGAGUGCCCCUGAGUUCAUUCCCCAGUACCCUCCCUCCCCGCCGGAAUAAAAGAGAGAAUUAAGAGCACAAAAUUUAUCUAGGAGACCUGAGAAGUACACAUAGAACUGGGGACAGUGUUCAGAGCUUUGUGGUUUCCCACUGAGACCUCAGACCUGUGGAGCCUCUCAGUGGGCUUCUAUGUCCUCCUGUCUCCACUAUCCUUUCCUCUUUCCUGGGAGUCCCUGGUCUUCGUGGGCUUUGGGGCUCCUCUGUCCUACCUCCAGGAUUCCCAGAAUAUCAGUCUUAUUUGUUCAUUUCCACAAGUUCCUGGAAAGAGCUGAGCCUGGCUUCCUGGAGGAUGGGAAUCCAGGCCUGUUAGCAUGGCAUCUAAGUCCAACAAAGUUUUACCUGGUUGAGGAUGCCAUUGCUCCUCCCACAGCACCACCCACCAGCUGCCACACAUGGAGAUCGGUCUCUCUCUCUCUCUCUCUCUCUCUCUCUCUCUCUCUGUCUUACCAAAAACAUUCUCCCAAACAGAAGGGCAGAGUAAGAAGUAAGUUGGAGAGGGACACCUACCCCAGGAGCAGCCUCCGGAUUAUACCUCUCCGCGGGCCACAGUGUGGGACCAACUGGGAAACCUAGGCCGUUUCAUUACCUCCACAAACACAACAGCCUGUCGGAUGCUUGGCACAGCUCUUACAAACUAUUCCAGUUACAUAAGACAACUAUUCAGUCUCAUUUUUUAUAAUCCUACUCUGCAAGAUUUUCUUUACAUGAAAGGAGAGAUUUUAAAUUGAUGCAUUCCAUUGGAGGAUAGAAUCUUUUCCAGUUCCAACACCCUGUACUGUCUCAUAAAUGCUGCUGGUUAAGAAGUUUUAUAGCCUUUCACAUUUGGCUGCGUGUUUUAAAAACCUUAAAAUUUUACUAAUUUUUCUACCCAGCAAUUUAAUUGCAGAGUAUGGACUGGCUCUACCACUUACCAGCUAUGGAUUUAAUUUCUCUGAGUCUCAGACUUCUCAACCCUAAAAUAGGAAUAAUAUAGGAGUACCUACAUCAUAGGCUGACUUUGAGGAUUAAAGAAAAUAGAUGGAAUGCCUAAGAAUCAUGUGUAAUAUCUGGUUACAUGCCAUAUAAAUGCCACCUACAUAAGUACUUGGAGGUUAAAAUUGGAAAUGCAUUUCAUUAUUAUUUUAAUUGACAAAUUUUAUAAAAAUAUGUAAUGAAAGGUUUUUGGUGAAAAAAUAAUUAUGUGCAUCUAUACAAUGGAAAAUUACCUAGCCAUUUUAGCAGAACAUUUAAUUAUAUAAGAAGAUGUUCAUAAUAUAUUGCUAGUACAAAAAAAAAAAAAACCAGCAUUUGAACUGGGGUUGUGGUUCAGCAGUAGAGUGCUUACCUAGCAUGUAUAAGGUGCUGGGUUCAAUCCUCAACACCAUGUAAAAAAUAAAUAAAUAAAAUGAAGGUAUUCUGUCCAACUUUUUAAAAGCAGUGUUCAAGUGCAGUUGGAUCCAAAUAGUAAAAUAAAAACGAAAGGGAAUGCUUUUAAAGUAUUACUGGUAGAUAACUCCAAUUGAUGGUUCGACCUCACCAGCCAAUUGGAAUUCAGUUGGGAACUUAGAAAAGAUGUGGGAUCCCCUGGCUCUAGCAGUUCUGAUUUCACUAGCCUGCUCUGGGACCUGUGCCUCAGGACUUUUGUUUUCUUCUGCAUGCCUGUUUUUCUUCCCCAAGUCUUCUAAGAUAAAAAUGCAUCACUUUUACAAUUAGAAAUUAAAACGUAAAUGCUAUUUAAAAAGCAAGUCAAUUACCCCCAUGAGGCGUCUGACUAAGCAGUUCUAUCAGGACUGGUCCACCAGAGCAUUUUCUCCCGGGGAGAGCUGGAGUUUGGUAGAACAGGGGGAGCAGACUGAGUCACUGCCCUGGAGAACAGUCCUGGGGAGGGCUCUGGGGAAGCAGGACUCCGGGAGGGUAGGGACAUUGGCUGCCUGAGGGUCCAGCGCAGGGACUGAAGAGGACCCCCAGGCAGGCUUUGCUGGCUGAGCCACUGUGCGCAGGUGGCUCUAUUGUUGAUGGCCCUUGCUGUCUGAGACCUUGCUCGGUACAUGUUGUGAUAUUUCUGGAGGUCAGCAUCCUGUUUUCUGUUUUCCAGCACACCGUCUUGAUAAAGGCUGGGAGAAGCUGGUACAACAAGAGGGCAGGCAGCAGAAGGUCUUUGGCUGCUAAAAAAUGUAACUGACAAAAACAUCCAGGGCUGUUUGCAUUUUUCUUCCUCCAUGUCUAGCGUUAAAUGCCUUGGGUUUGAUGAUGGAGCUUCUUCAGCAGAUAUUGCAUUUUUAUUUUUCCCAUUCAUUCAGCAAGUUCUUAUUGAGCACUUAUUAUGUGCCAAGUCAUGUACCAAGGGCUUUCAAUCAUUUAGUUCCUAUUCAGAUCCUUAAAUGACUCAGGUAUUGUUAUUAGCUCAUUUUUUUUUUUUUUUUGCAGAUAAAGAUUUGAAGUUCCAGGAAGUUAUUGGUCCAAAGUCACCUAGCAAGUUGUUAAUCGUCGCCAUCGUCAUCAGACUGGCUGCUAUUCACUGAGGACCUCCUCUGCACCAGAUUCCAAACUACGAGCUUUAUACCCACUUUGUGCUUGCUAAGGUGUCACCUCCCAGUGGCUCUCAGAGGCAGGGACAUUAUUAUCUCCCCUGUUUUGUAGAUGAGGACACUUAGAGAGAGGCAGAAUAACUCACCCAAGCCCACAUAGCUUGUAGGCAAUGGGAAAGGACUUCUAUCCAAGUGUGUUAAACUCUUCAAUUCCUGGUCUUCAACCCUAAGUCACAUUUCUCCACUGCUUAACAACUGAGCCUCAGAAGUCAGAUUUGAUGCCUUUCCUAUACAAAACAUUUAAGAUACAUCAAUUACAGAUGUUCACCUCAGUCUGUCUUAGCCUUUUCUCAACAUCAAGGUUUCUACAUCCUACAAGCAGAUCAUAUAAGGAGCUGUGUUGUGGUUUGGUUGUGAGGGGUCCCCCAAAAGCUCAUGUGUGAUACAAUGAAAUAACUGGGUUGAAAGAAUCUUAACCCAAUCAGUGAUUUAAUCCCCUGAUAGGUAUUAACAGAGUGGUAACUGAAGUGGUAGGGUGCGGCUGGAGGAGAUGGGAAUUGCAGGGUGGCUUUGGGUAUAUAUUUGUAUCUGGCGAAUGGUGUCUUUCUCUGCUUCUUGAUCAUGAAGUGAGCUGUUUCCCUCUGCCACACACUCCACC